UCCAAUUAGAGUUAGCUAUCCAGCUAAGGUUAGGAUUAGGCUAAGGGGCUGGUUAGGGUUAGAGUUAGGAUCAGGUUCUGCUGGCGGGUAAGGUUAGGGAUAGGGUUAGCUUCUGCUGGGGUUAGGGUUAGGGGUUGAGGCUCAGGUUAGUGUUAGGGUUAGAAUAGGGAUGCAAAGAAGGUUGGAUUGGAGAAGAUAACCCCCC
rnacentral:lncRNA from 1 species